rnacentral:rRNA from 1 species
CUACGGGGGGCUGCAGUCGAGAAUUUUUCACAAUGGGGGAAACCCUGAUGGAGCGACGCCGCGUGGAGGAUGAAGGUUUUCGGAUUGUAAACUCCUGUCAAAUGGGAACAAGAAAGUGAUAGUACCAUUAGAGGAAGAGACGGCUAACUCUGUGCCAGCAGCCGCGGUAAUACAGAGGUCUCAAGCGUUGUUCGGAUUCAUUGGGCGUAUAGGGUGCGCAGGCUGUGGGGUAAGUCGGAUGUGAAAUUUAGGGGCUCAACCUCUAAACUGCAUUCGAUACUGCUCCGCUAGAGGUAUGUAGAGGAGAUUGGAAUUCACGGUGUAGCAGUGAGAUGCGUAGAUAUCGUGAGGAGGACCAGUGGCGAAGGCGAAUCUCUGGGCAUUACCUGACGCUCAUGCACGAAGGCCAGGGGAGCAAACGGGAUUAGAUACCCUCGUAGUC